GAUGAAGAACGUAGCGAAAUGCGAUACGUAAUGUGAAUUGCAGAAUUCAGUGAAUCAUCGAAUCUUUGAACGCAUAUUGCGCUCUCUGGUAUUCCGGAGAGCAUGCUUGUUUGAGUAUCAGUAAACACCUCAACUUCCAUAUCUUUUUUGAAAUGGGAGUUGGACUUGAGUGAUCCCAACGCUUUUCCUUACCGAAAAGUGGCGGGUUACUUGAAAUGCAGGUGCAGCUGGACUUUUCUCUGAGCUAUAAGCAUAUCUAUUUAGUCUGCCUAAAAAACAGAUUAUUACCUUUGCUGCAGCUAACAUAAAGGAGAUUAGUUCUUGUGCUGACUGAUGCAGGAUUCACAAAGACAGCUUCGGCCGACUUUGUAAACUCGAUCUCAAAUCAAGUAAGACUACCCGCUGAACUUAAGCAUAUCAAUAAGCGGAGGA
rnacentral:misc_RNA from 1 species